CACGUAGGGGGCAAGCGUUGUCCGGAAUUAUUGGGCGUAAAGAGCGCGUAGGCGGUCCGAUAAGUCGGCUGUGAAAGUCAGGGGCUCAACCCUUGAAAGCCGGCCGAUACUGUCGGACUAGAGUCCGGAAGAGGCAAGUGGAAUUCCCGGUGUAGCGGUGAAAUGCGCAGAUAUCAGGAAGAACACCAAUGGCGAAGGCAGCUCUCUGGGACGGUACUGACGCUGAGACGCGAAAGCGUGGGGAGCGAACAGG
rnacentral:rRNA from 1 species